AGCACCGAAUCCCGCGGCCGAUAUCGGGCGCCGGGAAAUGUGGUGUUAGGGAGGAUCCGUUUAUCCCGAGGUCGUGCGGUGCGUCCAAGUCCUUCUUGAACGAGGCCACAGCCCAUAGAGGGUGCCAGGCCCGUAGCGACCGCUGCCGAUCGCGGGAGGAUCUCUCCUCAGAGUCGGGUUGCUUGAGAGUGCAGCCCUAAGUGGGUGGUAAACUCCAUCUAAGGCUAAAUAUGACCACGAGACCGAUAGCGAACAAGUACCGUGAGGGAAAGUUGAAAAGCACUUUGAAGAGAGAGUUCAAGAGUACGUGAAACCGUUCAGGGGUAAACCUGAGAAACCCGAAAGGUCGAAAGGGGAAAUUCAUUCGCGUUUCGACGGUCGGAGUGAGAUGGUCGAGUGACGGGCGGCGUACGCGUCGUCCGCUUCUUCCGUUUUACAUGUGUCCGGCUUCGAACGCGUGCACUUUUCCCCUAGUAGGACGUCGCGAUCCGUUGGGUGUCGGUUUAAGGCUCUCGCGGUGGAGCCCGAGCGUACGUCUCGCGACGUUUCGCGCUCGGACCCGCGGUGCCCCGACCGACUCGCUCGACGGUAGACAGAUGGCGCGGGGCCGCUAACUCGCAAUUAGCGCCCGGCCCGCGGCAAGCGCGUCCGUUGCGACGGCGAUCGGACCUGGUGCCGGUCCUGUCCCCGGACGACUGUUGGCUGCGGUGUUCUCGGGCAGACCUCGUCUCUCGAAACGCCGAUCUGCGACGCUAUAGCUUUGGGUACUUUCAGGACCCGUCUUGAAACACGGACCAAGGAGUCUAGCAUGUGCGCGAGUCAUUGGGACAUAACUAAACCUAAAGGCGCAAUGAAAGUGAAGGUCCGCCUUGCGCGGACCGAGGGAAGAUGAGUGUCGUUGCCGUGCGUUCGCGCGUACGGUAGCCGCUCCGCACUCCCGGGGCGUCUCGUUCUCAUCGCGAGAAGAGGCGCACCAAGAGCGUACACGCUGGGACCCGAAAGAUGGUGAACUAUGCCUGGUCAGGACGAAGUCAGGGGAAACCCUGAUGGAGGUCC
rnacentral:rRNA from 1 species